UCUCAAGCUAACGCAUUAAGUAGACCGCCUGGGGAGUACGGCCGCAAGGUUAAAACUCAAAUGAAUUGACGGGGGCCCGCACAAGCGGGGGAGCAUGUGGUUUAAUUCGAUGCAACGCGAAGAACCUUACCUACUCUUGACAUCCAGAGAAGAGACCAGAGAUGGACUUGUGCCUUCGGGAACUCUGAAACAGGUGCUGCAUGGCUGUCGUCAGCUCGUGUCGUGAGAUGUUGGGUUAA
rnacentral:rRNA from 1 species